rnacentral:siRNA from 1 species
UGGGAUGGCGUGUGAUGC